rnacentral:rRNA from 1 species
AGCGAUCUGGAGCAAAACUCAUAAAGUACGUCUCAGUUCGGAUUGAAGUCUGCAACUCGACUUCAUGAAGCUGGAAUCGCUAGUAAUCGCGGAUCAGCAUGCCGCGGUGAAUACGUUCUCGGGGUUU